GCGCCCUUAGCUCAGUUGGAUAGAGCGUCUGACUACGAAUCAGAAGGUCGGGAGUUCGAAUCUCUCAGGGCGCGCCA
rnacentral:tRNA from 1 species